rfam:Coniochaeta ligniaria NRRL 30616 unplaced genomic scaffold CONLIGscaffold_2, whole genome shotgun sequence.
GCCCGCUUGGCUAAGUGGUAUAGCGUGUCACUCGUACAAUGUUUCGACGGUCAUGACAAGGUCCUCGGUUCAAUUCCGAGAGUGGGCA